AUAACUUAUUUAUAUACAGGUAUAUAUCACACAACAAGAAUAUGGGGGAUUUUCUGGACCUAACAGUAUUCUUGCAAGACUUCCACUGAGGAGGUAGAAAGAAAUCCUCACCAAAAGAAGCUCUGAAUGAACUUUAGAAAAAAAAGUCCAAACACAUUUGAUGUUCCUCUUGAAACACGUUUCUGCCUGUGGUGAGCACACUUCAUUACCCUUGUUGUGCCACUUCAUAACUUCUUGUUAACUUUUUAUAUUUUACCUGCUAGUCCAGUUCAGUGUUUUUUAUUGCCUAGUUUUCAGCCACUACCCUUCUCCAGUUCUCACUCUUUCUAGCUUGCAUGCAGACACCAUCUGGCUUUACCCCCGGGGUUUCCUAGACAAGGGCAAUCUAGUUAGCCUUGUGAAAUCCAAACCCCAGGCAAAACAAAAACUGCACAAAACCUCACAAGAUAGGUUUUCUCACUUCUGUGUGAGAAGCAUUCACAUUACCCAGAGCAACUGUAAGAACAGAAAACACAUCUUGAACAGUGAGUUAUCUCUCAACCAACCUACUCUUUCCCCCAGAUUUUUGUCUUGCAAUUUACUGGAGUUAGCACAACCCUUUUCCAGUCAAGAGAAAGUUUGACCAGUGUGUGUGUAAUUAUGGAGUGUCAGAGUAGAAUAUCUUGUACGGAACUGUCUAUAAAGAAGCUUGGAAUAAAGUAGAUUGAGAACAGAUUUAGUAAAGAAAUCAGGAAGUCAUUCCAGUGUUCUUUUCUUUUCUAAAUAACAUAUUGCAAAUAAAAUCUCUGAGGCAAAAUUCUGGACAAAGACAUUCCUUUGAAAAGAGACCACAAGAUUCCUGGUCUUCUUAAUGGAUAAAACAGAAAGAAUUGGUCUCAGUCUGGGACAGUCAAAAUGCUGAUCCUUUUGAACAAUUUGGACAAGUACAGAAUAUUGUCCAAUGUAUUCAUCCUUGAGCAGAAAUAAACUAAAUUUCUGUGUGCUCUGCCUGUCUCAUAGGAGCUGAAAAGAACCCCUCCCUUUCUUUUUUAUGUUUGCAUGUUUCCAAAGUUUCCAGAGGAAUUCACUUGGGCAAGGCAUUUCAAGCUGUAUAUCUGAUUUCCCCUAAGUGAUCUAGAUGAUCUAGUUGCAAAGUUCAGAGGUUUGGAGCUAGAGAUUCUUUUAUUUAUGGCUUUAGGAAUCUGAAGUCAGUAGGGAACUAGGUACCUAUGGAGGUGUAAUUCCCUAGUGUUGGUCACAGAGUGAGGACUGAGGUGAGUUCACAACAAUGCAUGCUUCCCAGCUUCUGAACUAUAAACACUUGACUUUUAUUUUUCAUCAAGUUUGUUAUAUUUUGCUGUCUCUUCUGACUUCAUAGUUACUCGUUUGUUUUCACAAGAAUGACAAAUAUCAUGACCCUCCUCUGACAGCACAGUUGCAGUGAAAUGAGGACGAACAAGUUUUCUUCUGGUCUAUGCUAUGAAAAGAAUGAUGAAGGAAUCAAGACUGAGCCAAGGAAACUGUGUAAAAUCAGCUCCCUCCCACCCCAAUCAGAAAAUUGUAUCCAGCAAAAGGGCAUUCUUUGAUUGCUUAAUAUGAAGAUGCACAAAUCUCUGCCCUCAUCCAGCAGUGUCUACUCCUGAGAAUUCACAACCAUCCUAUGGUGCAUCUGUUGGCCCUUUGUCUUUGUUAUCUCUGAGUUCUCAUGAAUUUUCAGCAAUGAGUCCAUCUGGGAAUAAUUUCAUUGUGAGAAGAAGGCUUCCAUUCUAUCAAGAAAAAAGGCUGCAUGGAAAUCACGGAAAGCUACAGAAGAAAGUAUCGGCCAUUGUUUGAAAGCAUUGUGGCCUGUGAAGAUGGAAACCAGAACGGGGAUUUGCCUCCAAAUUUUAUAAGCUUCUAGAAACUCAAAUGAUGAGAAACAAAUGUGAAAAAAUCACAGAAGUAGUGGUUACUAAAAAAAAAAAAAUAAUUCUUAAAGCCCUGUUGCUUUUAUGAUGAACAGACCUGGUUAGAAGGAUAUUAAUUAUCUGGAAUACCAUCGUUUAAACAGGUGGAGAUAUUCCCAGUAUUUUUUGGUUGCCUCCUAGAUUAGUAUUAAACUUCUCAGUUGCUAACAAUGAAGUUAUCAGCCACUGGAACAAAUUAUUAAGAGGAACAGCGAGCUUACCAUUUCUUGAAGUCUUAGACAGAGUGGAUGGUAUGCUUUAGCAAACAAUGGAGACACAGCUGGGUGAAAUUAUAUGGUUGUACUAAAGAGCAGGGAACAUGAGAUAUUCUAUGUGGUCCUUCCUAGCCUUAAGAGCUAUGGAUCUAUAAUUUCACAAAUACCAUUACAAAGAACUCCUCAGAUGUAGUGAUGACCAUGGCAACAAUCUAAAUGCAACUCCUGAUUAUUCUAAAGUAUUUUGAGAAAUUACAGACCUAUAAUACAGUUUCUACAUGGCACUGUCACUACAUGGUCAUUUUACUAUCAUAAGGGGGCACUGUAAUUUUAUAACAUUAGAAAUCCCUUUUUGAGGACUAAAGAGACUCAUGCUCUCCCCGAAAGAGCUCAUUGUACUUCAGUUCAUUAACGAGCAUAUAAACAAGUAAGCAUGCAUACUGCUGCUUUCUUGAUACAUAUUUCAGCCAUUACAAUGAGAAAUAAGUAUGCAAGAUUCACUCCGUGAAAUAAAAAGCAAUCCACGCAGG